rnacentral:lncRNA from 1 species
CAUGGACCACAGGUGGCCCUCAAAUAUGUCCACAUGGAUGAAGUCCCCAUGCCAGCCUGCUGCCUGGAAGGCCAAGGGUGCCUGCCAGCUCUGUGUGUAUCUUCUAGACAUUCCAGAACUGAUGUCAGAUUUGGCUCAUCAGAGUCCACAGACCAUAUCGGUGAAGAAGAUGAAUAGGAUUCCUGUUUAACCCAGAGACACCUAUGUUAAAUGUUUACAUACAGACUAACCCAAAUAUGCAAUUAAACCACACCACUAAAUGGCAAGAUGACCAUGGAUUUAAACAAAAUGUAUCAGGGGGAAAAGGCAACACGUUUAAACCCAUGUGAGGAGCUGGACUUCUGAGACAGCCAUUCUCCUUGCAUAGCACUGUCUGCUGCUACAGCUCAUAGAAGUCAACAAUUUUCUUCAACACUGGUAGGCAGCCUCUAAAUGGCCCUGAUCACCCUCACCUCCUGCCAUUCACACCCUUGUAAAAUUCCACCCCUGGACCUAGUGACUCACUUCUAACAAAGAGAAUACAGCAAAAGUAACAUCGCUUCUGAGGUGAGGCUACAAGGAGACUACGAUGCCUGCCUUGGUCACCCUUCUCCUGCUCUUUCCAUUGCUCCCUCUGAUGGAAGCCAGUUGCCAUGUGAUGAGGUGCCCUAUGGAGAGGCCCACGUGACAAGGUAUUGUAAAAGGCCUCUGACCAAUAGCCAUCUAGAAACGGAGGCCCAGUCCAGCAGCCUCUGAGAUGAUUCCUGCCAAUGUGAGCUUGGAGACAGAUUCUCUCCCUAUCCUGCCUUGGGAUGAUCACAGCCGCCAUCAACACCUUCACUGCCUGGUGAGAGACCAAGCCAGUGAACCCAAGAUAAACUGCACAGAAUUCUGACCCACAGAAACUGUGAGAUAAUGUUUGUUGUUUUAAGCUGCUAAAUUUGUUACAGAGCAAUAGAUAACUAAUUCAAACACCAUAAAAUUCUAACAUUUUAUUCUAUCACACAAACCAAGUAAUACCAAUAAAUGCCAUUACUAUACAUAUAUUUUUGGAACACAAUUACAUGUGAUUUUUUUUGAAAAGCUAAUGAACUAAGCAUUAUGUGCUUUCACCCACUAAUAGACAUUUACUCUGUUGUAGGAUUUUCCAUUAUAAAUUGGAGAAAAGCCAUUAUUAUUAUAUAUUAGCUUCAGAAGAACUAGGUUCAAGUCACGGAAAUCCAUGAACACCGUGGAAAACCAGAAAAACAAGUUGGCCGGGCGCGGUGGCUCACGCCUGUAAUCCCGGCACUUUGGGAGUCCAAGGUGGGUGGAUCACGAGGUUAGGAGAUCGAGACAUCCUGGCCAACAUGGUGAAACCCCUUCUCUACCAAAAUAAAAACAAUUAGCCAGGUGUGGUGGCACGUGCCUGUAGUCCCAGCUACUCAGGAGGCUGAGAGAGGGGAAUCGCUUGAACCCAGGAGGCAGAGGUUUCAGUGAGCUGAGAUGUGCCACUGCACUCCAGCCUGGAGAGAGAGCAAGACCCCAUCUCAAAAAAAAAAAAAAAAAAAAAAAGAAAAGAAAAGAAAAACAAUUUGUAUUGAAGGAGGACAUCAUUAACAGUAUAUCUCUUCAAUAAUGAUUUAUGUUACUAUUCUCAUUCCUCUCUCACAGUGUCCCAAAUCUCUUUACAGGC